AAAUCUUAGCGGUGGAUCACUCGGUUCGUGGAUCGAUGAAGAACGCAGCUAGCUGCGAUAAAUAGUGCGAAUUGCAGACACAUUGAGCACUAAAAUUUCGAACGCACAUUGCGCCAUCGAGUUCAUUCCCGUUGGCACGUCUGGCUGAGGGUCA
rnacentral:rRNA from 1 species